GACGAACGCUGGCGGCGUGCUUAACACAUGCAAGUCGUACGGUAAGGCCCUUUCGGGGGUACCCGAGUGGCGAACGGGUGAGUAACACGUGAGUAACCUGCCCACAACUUUGGGAUAACGCUAGGAAACUGGUGCUAAUACUGGAUAUGUGCUCCUGCUGCAUGGUGGGGGUUGGAAAGCUCCGGCGGUUGUGGAUGGACUCGCGGCCUAUCAGCUUGUUGGUGGGGUAGUGGCCUACCAAGGCGGCGACGGGUAGCCGGCCUGAGAGGGUGACCGGCCACAUUGGGACUGAGAUACGGCCCAGACUCCUACGGGAGGCAGCAGGGGGGAAUAUUGCACAAUGGGCGCAAGCCUGAUGCAGAAACGCCGCGUGCGGGAUGACGGCCUUCGGGUUGUAAACCGCUUUCAGCAGGGACGAAGCUUUUUGUGACGGUACCUGCAGAAGAAGCACCGGCUAACUACGUG
rnacentral:rRNA from 1 species